rnacentral:lncRNA from 1 species
GACCAGGCAGCAAAGACUACAUCCAAGAUCUUGCCACUGGAACUAUCCAUCGGGGAUGCCACUGUGUCGCUGCCACCAGCAUGGCUGACAAGUGGUGUAGGUCCGUGCCUGGGAUCCAAACCUGUGAACCUGUGCUGCAAAGCAGAGCAUGCCGAAUUUAACCACUAUGCCACGGGGUUGGCUCCAAGAUAGAUGAGCAGAUUUCAAUUGUGAACUUGCAAAGGCCCUGUUUCUGCAUAUGGACCUGUAUCUGCAUCACAGGGACGCUCAACGACAUAGAAACACACCAGGGGCUCGCUACUGUUAAAAAGAAAAGCAAAGAGAAGAAGAUGGGCUGCUCCCAUGCCUGCUCUUAUGGGAAUCGAUUACUCUACCACCUCAGUUCAGAAACACAGACGCAGAAUUGAAGUCCAUCUACAACCCAAGGGAAAG